rnacentral:rRNA from 1 species
UGGGGAGUUUUGGACAAUGGGCGCAAGCCUGAUCCAGCCAUGCCGCGUGAGUGAAGAAGGCCUUCGGGUUGUAAAGCUCUUUCGGUUGGGAAGAAAUUGCCUGGGUUAAUACCUCAGGUAGAUGACGGUACCAGCAUAAGAAGCACCGGCUAACUACGUGCCAGCAGCCGCGGUAAUACGUAGGGUGCGAGCGUUAAUCGGAAUUACUGGGCGUAAAGCGUGCGCAGGCGGUUGUGUAAGUCAGAUGUGAAAUCCCCGGGCUCAACCUGGGAACUGCAUUUGAGACUGCACGGCUAGAGUGUGGCAGAGGGGGGUAGAAUUCCACGUGUAGCAGUGAAAUGCGUAGAGAUGUGGAGGAAUACCGAUGGCGAAGGCAGCCCCCUGGGCCAAUACUGACGCUCAUGCACGAAAGCGUGGGGAGCAAACA